AAAUUGAAGAGUUUGAUCAUGGCUCAGAUUGAACGCUGGCGGCAGGCCUAACACAUGCAAGUCGAGCGGAAACGAGUUAUCAGAACCUUCGGGGGACGAUAACGGCGUCGAGCGGCGGACGGGUGAGUAAUGCCUAGGAAAUUGCCCUGAUGUGGGGGAUAACCAUUGGAAACGAUGGCUAAUACCGCAUGAUGCCUACGGGCCAAAGAGGGGGACCUUCGGGCCUCUCGCGUCAGGAUAUGCCUAGGUGGGAUUAGCUAGUUGGUGAGGUAAGGGCUCACCAAGGCGACGAUCCCUAGCUGGUCUGAGAGGAUGAUCAGCCACACUGGAACUGAGACACGGUCCAGACUCCUACGGGAGGCAGCAGUGGGGAAUAUUGCACAAUGGGCGCAAGCCUGAUGCAGCCAUGCCGCGUGUGUGAAGAAGGCCUUCGGGUUGUAAAGCACUUUCAGUCGUGAGGAAGG
rnacentral:rRNA from 1 species